rnacentral:snRNA from 1 species
AUACUUACCUGGCAGGGAGAUACCAUGAUCACGAAGGUGGUUUCCCAGGCGAGGCUUAUCCAUUGCACUCCGGAUUGCUGACCCCUGCGAUUUCCCAAAUGUGGGAAACUCGACUGCAUAAUUUGUGUAGUGGGGACUGCGUUCGCGCUUUCCCUG